UGCCGGACCUUGUGCGCUGGCCGCGCGCCAACCGAGUCAGAUGGGGAACCAAGCAGCUCCACGCGAUGCGACCAGGCGCCGCAAGUGCCUCUGGCUUUC
rnacentral:SRP_RNA from 1 species